rnacentral:rRNA from 1 species
UACGUAGGGCGCAAGCGUUGUCCGGAAUUAUUGGGCGUAAAGAGCUCGUAGGCGGUUUGUCGCGUCUGCCGUGAAAGCCCCGGGCUCAACCUGGGAAUUGCAUUCGAGACUGCAUAGCUAGGAUGCGGAAGAGGGAAGCGGAAUUUCCGGUGUAGCGGUGAAAUGCGUAGAUAUCAGGAGGAACACCGGUGGCGAAGGCGGAUCUCUGGGCCGAUACUGACGUGGAGGAGCGAAAAGCGUGGGGGAGCGAAACAGG